GUGCUCACUUUGACAGCACAUAUAUUUAAAUUAGAAUGAUACAGAGAAGAGUGGCACUUGCACAAGGAUGACACACAAAUUCGUGAAGCAUUCCAUGUUUUU
rfam:Otolemur garnettii contig139051, whole genome shotgun sequence.